GACGAACCGUGCGAACGUUGUUCGGAAUCACUGGGCGUGAAGCGUGCGCAGGCGGCUUUGCAAGACAGAUGUGAAAUCCCCGGGCUCAACCUGGGAACUGCAUUUGUGACUGCAAGGCUAGAGUACGGUAGAGGGGGAUGGAAUUCCGCGUGUAGCAGUGAAAUGCGUAGAUAUGCGGAGGAACACCGAUGGCGAAGGCAAUCCCCUGGACCUGUACUGACGCUCAUGCACGAAAGCGUGGGGAGCAAACAGG
rnacentral:rRNA from 1 species